UGGGGAAUCUUGGACAAUGGGCGAAAGCCUGAUCCAGCAAUGCCGCGUGUGUGAAGAAGGCCUUCGGGUUGUAAAGCACUUUUGUCCGGAAAGAAAUCCUUGGCUCUAAUACAGUCGGGGGAUGACGGUACCGGAAGAAUAAGCACCGGCUAACUACGUGCCAGCAGCCGCGGUAAUACGUAGGGUGCAAGCGUUAAUCGGAAUUACUGGGCGUAAAGCGUGCGCAGGCGGUUUGCUAAGACCGAUGUGAAAUCCCCGGGCUCAACCUGGGAACUGCAUUGGUGACUGGCAGGCUAGAGUAUGGCAGAGGGGGGUAGAAUUCCACGUGUAGCAGUGAAAUGCGUAGAGAUGUGGAGGAAUGCCGAUGGCGAAGGCAGCCCCCUGGGCCAAUACUGACGCUCAUGCACGAAAGCGUGGGGAGCAAACAGGAUUAGAUACCCUGGUAGUCCACGCCCUAAACGAUGUCAACUAGUUGUUGGGGAUUCAUUUCCUUAGUAACGUAGCUAACGCGUGAAGUUGACCGCCUGGGGAGUACGGUCGCAAGAUUAAAACUUAAAUGAAUUGACGGGGUCAUAGCUGUUUCCU
rnacentral:rRNA from 1 species